rnacentral:rRNA from 1 species
AUUGAACGCUGGCGGCAGGCUUAACACAUGCAAGUCGAGCGAGCGGCGGACGGGUGAGUAAUGUCUGGGAAACUGCCUGAUGGAGGGGGAUAACUACUGGAAACGGUAGCUAAUACCGCAUACCAUCAGAUGUGCCAAGAUGGGAUUAGCUAGUAGGUGGGGUAAUGGCUCACCUAGGCGACGAUCCUUAGCUGGUCUGAGAGGAUCACCGUCAACCCUGGAACUGGGACACGGUCCAGAGUCCUACGGACGGCAGCAGUGGGGACGAUUGCACAAUGGGCGCUAGCCUGAUGCAGCCAUGCCGCGUGAGUGAAGAAGGCCUUCGGGUUGUAAAGCACUUUCAGCGAUGAGGCGUUACUCGCAGAAGAAGCACCGGCUAACUCCGUGCCAGCAGCCGCGGUAAUAC